UAAGGAAUAUUGGUCAAUGGAGGGAACUCUGAACCAGCCAUCCCGCGUGAAGGAUGAAGGGGCUCUGCCUUGUAAACUUCUUUUGCAUGGGACGAAAAAACUUAAUUUAUUAAGGACUGACGGUACCAUGAGAAUAAGCACCGGCUAACUCCGUGCCAGCAGCCGCGGUAAUACGGAGGGUGCGAGCGUUAUCCGGAAUCACUGGGUUUAAAGGGUGCGUAGGCGGUUUGAUAAGUCAGUGGUGAAAGGCCGUCGCUUAACGAUGGGACUGCCAUUGAUACUGUUAGACUUGAAUCAGGAUGAGGUUGGCGGAAUGUGGCAUGUAGCGGUGAAAUGCUUAGAUAUGCCAUGGAAUACCGAUUGCGAAGGCAGCUGACUGGACCUGAAUUGACGCUGAGGCACGAAAGCGUGGGGAGCGAACAG
rnacentral:rRNA from 1 species